rnacentral:lncRNA from 1 species
UCUUGCCUUACAAACUAGAUUCUGUGCCCUUUUGUUGUCUUUUUUUCUCUCUUUAACUCGGUGAAUAUUUCUAUUGUCUUAAACAAACUGAAGAAAUUGUUAUUAAGAAUAAGAAAUAUUAUCGUAAAGAUAAUUUAAAAUUUUAAGGAAUGAAAAAUAACAAAAAAAAAUAAUUUUUGUUUUAUAUCAAUUUCUUAGCUUUUUAACACAACCAUGCAAAGGGAAACAACUUAGUCAGAAAUAAUGUAUCAUUAAUAACAGCUUUUAUCUCCCUUCAGUUAUCUUGUAGUCAAAUGGUAUCUUUGAUGGCAAAAGAAUAUUCACGACUGUUGUUACUGUUAUUCACUGACUUUGUCAUUAUGUAUAAUGUGCAGUUAUCUGUUUGUAAUUCAACAUAUCAGCCUACUGAAAGAUUCAUGCUAUAUUAUGUGAACAUGUAAAAGGAGAUAAAAUAUAAAUUACAAAAAAAUAAUAAAAACUAUUUUGGUCUGGAGCGUUUUCUUAUCCUGGAAGUGUAAACGGUCAGUUUUGUAAGUUUGGUUGUUCUCGAUUGAUCUACAUAGACUGUGAGUCUUUCUACUGAUUGUCAAGCUUUUCGUGUAAGUGUUGUUCCGAUGAAAACAAGUCUUUUAAAAUAACUUUGAUAGUUUAAAUUGCAAGUGAUACAUUUAUGUUUAACAAAGUCUUGUUGCUUUUUAGGUUGGUGUUUUUGUGGCAGAGAUAAAGUGGUGUAUAUAAGUUCAUAGAUGGGUCCACGUGUUUUCAGAUUUCUGCUGCAGCGUAAAAAAGGUUGUGUUCAAGUGACAAAGAUCGAAAGAAACAGAUUACGGGUGGAUGUGUUUUUCAAAUAUGGAAUAUUAAAUAUCAUGCACAAAGGUGUUGUUAGAUCUGGAGCACAAACGGUAUGCAUAUGUUCCUAUUUUCUUUGUCUGGAAUUUCUGAAGGCAACACUAGAAUUAUUAUUUGUUUCUGUUCUUAAGUAUGACUUUUAGCUCAACUAUUUGGAGAAUAGAGGGGCUAUACUACUCACUCCGGCGUCGACGUCGGUGUCGGCGUGACCCUUCUUGGUUAAAGUUUUUCGGCAACCUUUGUUUUUCUGUCAUAUCUUUGUUACUAUU